rnacentral:rRNA from 1 species
UACGUAGGGGGCAAGCGUUGUUCGGAAUUAUUGGGCGUAAAGGGCGCGUAGGCGGCCUGCUAAGUCGAACGUGAAAUCCCCGGGCUCAACCCGGGAACUGCGUCCGAUACUGGAAGGCUUGAAUCCGGGAGAGGGAUGCGGAAUUCCAGGUGUAGCGGUGAAAUGCGUAGAUAUCUGGAGGAACACCGGUGGCGAAAGCGCUCUGCUAGGCCGCAACUGACACUCAUGGACGAAAGCUAGGGGAGCGAAUGGG